CCACUGGAUGAUGAUGAACUAGUGGAAUACAUCCUCAGUGGCCUUGACGAGGAAUAUGACUCCGUUGUCAAUGCGGUUCUUACACGAACCGAUCCGAUCACUGUAAGUGAACUUGUUUCGCAGAUGCUGUCAUUCAAGA
rfam:Dichanthelium oligosanthes cultivar Kellogg 1175 unplaced genomic scaffold Do_version_2_scaffold5065, whole genome shotgun sequence.